CCCGUGUUUUGUGUAUCCCCUACUUAUAUCACUAGGGAUAUGUGUAUCCCCAUGCUCACCUCACUAGGGAUAUGUGUAUCCCCGGCAAUAUGGCGGUCGUGUUCUGCGUAUCCCUAAAGAACCACCCUACAUUCCCACAUCACUAGGGAUACAAGUAUCCCUAACAUUUCGCGGGAAAUAAAACAUGCAAAACUGCACAUACAAGCUUGAAAAUAACACUCUAAAUAGUGUGGUGGAUUGUGUUUCGAACAAAACUAAUACCAAAAAGAUAUGUUGAAAGGGGCCGAGUUAUAUUCGGCGAAAGGUAUGGCUUAGUGAUGCAUUGUUUACAAUUUCUUCGAGUUUAUUGUCUAUAGUAUGGUAUGGUUAGUUUACAUUGUUCAAGUAUGCCUAGUUUACAAUUUAUGGCUAUUUUACAUUGUUCGAUUUCAUAGAACUUUUCAAGCGGAUUUUUUUUGUGGUACUUUCGUAUUUCUACUGCAAAUACUCGCGGAGUUCUGUAAUAUUUAAACUUCCUGUCAUAUACGUCGGAAAUCAAGUAAUACGGAGCCAUAUGAGUUAAUGUUAAGAGUAAUUCUACACUAUGUUCUACACCAAUUUAUGCGACGCGAACACGCUAUCUUACAACAUAAGCACAAUCACAUUAUACACAUUUACUGCAGCAUUUAAUAACUGUAAAAACGUAAAUACUUAAACAGAUAAAUGACUUUCCUCCUGCUCAUAUUUUGAAUAUUGCGUCCUUUCGCUUCUAGUGUUGUAGGUAUCCCCACCGGGGGUACUUUUAUCCCUAGGGAUAUUAGUGUGGGGAUACACAAAACACGGGGACACUCAUAUCACUGUGACACCUGUAAU
rnacentral:lncRNA from 1 species